rnacentral:rRNA from 1 species
GACGAACGCUGGCGGCGUGCUUAACACAUGCAAGUCGAACGGAAAGGCCCUGCUUUUGUGGGGUGCUCGAGUGGCGAACGGGUGAGUAACACGUGAGUAACCUGCCCUUGACUUUGGGAUAACUUCAGGAAACUGGGGCUAAUACCGGAUAGGAGCUCCUGCUGCAUGGUGGGGGUUGGAGAGUUUCGGCGGUUGGGGAUGGACUCGCGGCUUAUCAGCUUGUUGGUGGGGUAGUGGCUUACCAAGGCUUUGACGGGUAGCCGGCCUGAGAGGGUGACCGGCCACAUUGGGACUGAGAUACGGCCCAGACUCCUACGGGAGGCAGCAGUGGGGAAUAUUGCACAAUGGGCGGAAGCCUGAUGCAGCAACGCCGCGUGAGGGAUGACGGCCUUCGGGUUGUAAACCGCUUUCGCCUGUGACGAAGCGUGAGUGACGGUAAUGGGUAAAGAAGCACCGGCUAACUACGUG